rnacentral:rRNA from 1 species
AGUGAACGCUGGCGGUAGGCCUAACACAUGCAAGUCGAACGGCAGCACAGGAGAGCUUGCUCCCUGGGUGGCGAGUGGCGGACGGGUGAGGAAUACAUCGGAAUCUACUUUUUCGUGGGGGAUAACGCAGGGAAACUUACGCUAAUACCGCAUACGACCUACGGGUGAAAGCAGGGGACCUUCGGGCCUUGCGCGAUUGAAUGAGCCGAUGUCGGAUUAGCUAGUUGGCGGGGUAAAGGCCCACCAAGGCGACGAUCCGUAGCUGGUCUGAGAGGAUGAUCAGCCACACUGGAACUGAGACACGGUCCAGACUCCUACGGGAGGCAGCAGUGGGGAAUAUUGGACAAUGGGCGCAAGCCUGAUCCAGCCAUACCGCGUGGGUGAAGAAGGCCUUCGGGUUGUAAAGCCCUUUUGUUGGGAAAGAAAUCCAGCUGGCUAAUACCCGGUUAGGAUGACGGUACCCAAAGAAUAAGCACCGGCUAACUUCGUGCCAGCCGCCGCCGUAA